CGGGACGCCGGCGAGUGGCGAACGGGUGAGUAAUGCAUCGGAACGUACCCAGUAGUGGGGGAUAACUUACCGAAAGGUAAGCUAAUACCGCAUACGCACUGAGGUGGAAAGCAGGGGACCGCAAGGCCUUGCGCUAUUGGAGCGGCCGAUGUCGGAUUAGCUAGUUGGUGGGGUAAAGGCCUACCAAGGCGACGAUCCGUAGCGGGUCUGAGAGGAUGAUCCGCCACACUGGAACUGAGACACGGUCCAGACUCCUACGGGAGGCAGCAGUGGGGAAUUUUGGACAAUGGGCGCAAGCCUGAUCCAGCCAUGCCGCGUGAGUGAAGAAGGCCUUCGGGUUGUAAAGCUCUUUCGGCCGGGAAGAAAUCGUGGUGGCUAAUACCUGCCAUGGAUGACGGUACCGGACUAAGAAGCACCGGCUAACUACGUGCCAGCAGCCGCGGUAAUACGUAGGGUGCGAGCGUUAAUCGGAAUUACUGGGCGUAAAGCGUGCGCAGGCGGUUGUGUAAGACAGGCGUGAAAUCCCCGGGCUCAACCUGGGAACUGCGCUUGUGACUGCACGGCUAGAGUACGGCAGAGGGGGGUGGAAUUCCACGUGUAGCAGUGAAAUGCGUAGAGAUGUGGAGGAACACCGAUGGCGAAGGCAGCCCCCUGGGUCGAUACUGACGCUCAUGCACGAAAGCGUGUGGAGCAAACAGGAUUAGAUACCCUGGUAGUCCACGCCCUAAACGAUGUCGACUAGUUGUUGGAGGGGUAAAACCCUUUAGUAACGUAGCUAACGCGUGAAGUCGACCGCCUGG
rnacentral:rRNA from 1 species